rnacentral:lncRNA from 1 species
UGGUAGUGGGUUGCAUUAUGGGUAUAGUAGGGAUUUUCGGUUGUUGUCACCGGGUACAGUCACCGGUUUCUUUUUUACUUUAUGUUCAUUUUAACCAAACUAUACAAUACAUGCGUUAUUUAGCUAGCUAGCUUAUCUAGCUACUAUGCUGAAAAAUUCCAAAGGGUUAAGAAAAGUUAAAUAUGUUACUUUACAGUAGCUAGCUAGUUAAGUAGCUAGCUAAAUAGAUUAACUAAAUUAGUUAACUAAUGAACAAGCUGUCUGUUAGCUAGUUAGCUUAGCUAGCUACGUUAGUAACUAACAUAAUUAAGUCAAAUAACAAUGAAAAAUAUAGCAUUAAUAAAACUAAAUCUGGAUUUGCUGUUAUGCAAAUGCUGUUAUGGUAACCUAGCAAGCUAGUCACUGUUCUUGUGUGAACUAACUAGUUUAGCUAGGUUAGCUGUGGUUAGCUAGCUAUGCUGUUAGCUAACCUAGCUGUUAGCUUAGCUAUGUAAUGUUAGCUAGUUGUUUAUACGUUGGAAAAUCAACAACAACAAAAAAAUCAACAAGGGGGCAGUGGUUACCUGCAAAUGUAAUUAAUUAUUUAUUUCUUAAUUUAAUAAAUUAAUAUAGUAUUUUUUUUAUAUGCUGUACUAUUUAUUGUCUACUGUAGCAAUUAAACUACUGGCUGCAAAUUAGCUAUAGCUAUUUAUACAUAUUAAGACUUGAUGUGAGCAAAUUUGUGGAAAGAAACAGAACUGCAGGCAUUGCAAAAGUGACUGAAAGUGGCUUAUGAGGAGCUGGGUUAUAUUGUUGGCUUAAGUUGUUGGAAAUGGAAAACUGCUGCAUGUCUAUGCCAUGGCUUUGUACGAAGAUAAAUUAGCUAAAAUGGCUUGCGUGGAGGUGGGAAGUAAGAAGUUUGAAAUUUUGGAGUUCCCAUAUGUUGUUUGCCAAUUGCAUACUCUUCCAAAUAAAGUCAGCAGGAGGAGAGGAUGUUGGUCUAAUUAGCAGCAAAAGAAUCUACCAUCUCCUCAGCACCUGUCACUGCGGGCUCAACUCUGCCGCCUGGUGGCUGGGGACAGGAAAUGAAUGUUGGAGUGCCCCUGCAUUGCUUCUGUGUAUAGGUAUGUGCUCUUCUUCACACAGCAAUUUCAACAUGUACUGUUGUUUACACACAUCUAGAGGUUCAGGCUGC